rnacentral:rRNA from 1 species
GACGAACGCUGGCGGCGUGCCUAACACAUGCAAGUCGAACGGAGUAUUCAGCAAUGGAUACUUAGUGGCGAACGGGUGAGUAACGCGUAGACAACCUACCUUCUAGAUGGGGACAACAUUCCGAAAGGAAUGCUAAUACCGAAUGUAGUAUUUGAGGCACCUGCCUUAAAUACCAAAGGUGGCCUCUGAAUAUGCUACCGCUAGAAGAUGGGUCUGCGUCUGAUUAGCUAGUUGGUGAGGUAAUGGCUCACCAAGGCGACGAUCAGUAGCCGGUCUGAGAGGAUGAACGGCCACGCUGGGACUGAGACACGGCCCAAACUCCUACGGGAGGCAGCAGUGGGGAAUCUUCCGCAAUGGACGAAAGUCUGACGGAGCAACGCCGCGUGAGUGAAGAAGGUUCUUGGAUCGUAAAGCUCUGUCUUCAGGGACGAAUGUUAUCCUUGUGAAUAAUGAGGGUAAAUGACGGUACCUGAGGAGGAAGCCACGGCUAACUACGUGCCAGCAGCCGCGGUAAUACGUAGGUGGCGAGCGUUGUCCGGAAUUAUUGGGCGUAAAGAGCGCGUAGGCGGGAUGAUAAGUCUGUUGUAAAAGUGCGGGGCUCAACCCCGUAAGGUCAAUGGAAACUGUCAUUCUUGAGUGCAGGAGAGGAAAGUGGAAUUCCCAGUGUAGCGGUGAAAUGCGUAGAUAUUGGGAGGAACACCAGUGGCGAAGGCGACUUUCUGGACUGUGUCUGACGCUGAGGCGCGAAAGCUAGGGGAGCGAACGGGAUUAGAUACCCCGGUAGUCCUAGCCGUAAACGAUGGGUACUAGGUGUAGGAGGUAUCGACCCCUUCUGUGCCGGAGUUAACGCAAUAAGUACCCCGCCUGGGGAGUACGGCCGCAAGGUUG